GUCAGGAUGGCCGAGCGGUCUAAGGCGCCAGACUCAAGGACAUAUUUCUUGCUUCAAUAAGAGAAGUUGCAGUAUGCAUUAUUCUGGUCUUCAAUGAAAUCGUGGGUUCAAAUCCCCACUCCUGACA
rnacentral:tRNA from 1 species